CCUAAAGGGCCGUCGAAGACUACGACGUUGAUAGGUUGGGUGUGUAAGCGCUGUGAGGCGUUGAGCUAACCAAUACUAAUUGCCCGUGAGGCUUGACCAUAUAACACCCAAGCAAUU
rnacentral:rRNA from 2 species